rnacentral:rRNA from 1 species
AGCAGCAGCCGCGGUAAUACGGAGGGUGCAAGCGUUAAUCGGAAUUACUGGGCGUAAAGCGCACGCAGGCGGUCUGACAAGUCAGAUGUGAAAUCCCCGGGCUUAACCUGGAAACUGCAUUUGAAACUGUCAGGCUGGAGUCUUGUAGAGGGGGGUAGAAUUCCAGGUGUAGCGGUGAAAUGCGUAGAGAUCUGGAGGAAUACCGGUGGCGAAGGCGGCCCCCUGGACAAAGACUGACGCUCAGGUGCGAAAGCGUGGGGAGCAAACAGGAUUAGAUACCCCAGUAGUCCCUGUCUCUUAUAC